CUACGGGCUGCAGCAGUGGGGAAUAUUGGACAAUGGGCGAAAGCCUGAUCCAGCCAUGCCGCGUGUGUGAAGAAGGCCUUCGGGUUGUAAAGCACUUUCAGUGGGGAAGAAAGCCUUGGGGCUAAUACCCUCGAGGAAGGACAUCACCCACAGAAGAAGCACCGGCUAACUCCGUGCCAGCAGCCGCGGUAAUACGGAGGGUGCGAGCGUUAAUCGGAAUUACUGGGCGUAAAGCGCGCGUAGGCGGUCUGAUAAGCCGGUUGUGAAAGCCCCGGGCUCAACCUGGGAACGGCAUCCGGAACUGUCAGGCUAGAGUGCAGGAGAGGAAGGUAGAAUUCCCGGUGUAGCGGUGAAAUGCGUAGAGAUCGGGAGGAAUACCAGUGGCGAAGGCGGCCUUCUGGACUGACACUGACGCUGAGGUGCGAAAGCGUGGGUAGCAAACAGGAUUAGAUACCCCAGUAGUC
rnacentral:rRNA from 1 species